GACGAACGCUGGCGGCGUGCUUAACACAUGCAAGUCGAACGGAGAGGCCCUGCUUUUGUGGGGUGCUCGAGUGGCGAACGGGUGAGUAACACGUGAGUAACCUGCCCUUGACUUUGGGAUAACUUCAGGAAACUGGGGCUAAUACCGGAUAGGAGCUCCUGCUGCAUGGUGGGGGUUGGAAAGUUUCGGCGGUUGGGGAUGGACUCGCGGCUUAUCAGCUUGUUGGUGGGGUAGUGGCUUACCAAGGCUUUGACGGGUAGCCGGCCUGAGAGGGUGACCGGCCACAUUGGGACUGAGAUACGGCCCAGACUCCUACGGGAGGCAGCAGUGGGGAAUAUUGCACAAUGGGCGGAAGCCUGAUGCAGCAACGCCGCGUGCGGGAUGACGGCCUUCGGGUUGUAACCCGCUUUCGCCUGUGACGAAGCGUGAGUGACGGUAAUGGGUAAAGAAGCACCGGCUAACUACGUG
rnacentral:rRNA from 1 species